rnacentral:rRNA from 1 species
GAGUAACGCGUGGGUAGCCUGCCUCAUACAGGGGGAUAACAGUUAGAAAUGACUGCUAACACCGCAUAAUAUAGCGAAACCGCAUGAUUUUGCUAUCAAAUAUUUAUAGGUAUGAGAUGGGCCCGCGUCUGAUUAGCUAGUUGGUGGGGUAAAAGCCUACCAAGGCGACGAUCAGUAGCCGGCUUGAGAGAGUGACCGGCCACAUUGGGACUGAGACACGGCCCAAACUCCUACGGGAGGCAGCAGUGGGGAAUAUUGGACAAUGGGGGAAACCCUGAUCCAGCGAACCGCCGCGUGAGUGAAGAAGUAUUUCGGUAUGUAAAGCUCUAUCAGCAGGGAAGAUAAUGACAGUACCUGACUAAGAAGCCCCGGCUAACUACGUGCCAGCAGCCGC